GGCUUGGUAGCGUAGUGGUAACGCGCUCUGUGUCACUGCAGCAUUUAUAUAUUGGUUGACGGAAAGUCCGGAGUUCGAUUCUCCGUCAAGCCA